CGGGCUCUUCGGAGUGCCGACGAGUGGCGGACGGCUGAGUAACGCGUAGGAACGUGCCCCAAAGUGAGGGAUAACUUCGAGAAAUCGGAGCUAAUACCGCAUAUGAUCUUCGGAUUAAAGAAUUUAUUCGCUUUGGGAGCGGCCUGCGUCGGAUUAGGUAGUUGGUGAGGUAAUGGCUCACCAAGCCGACGAUCCGUAGCUGGUCUGAGAGGAUGACCAGCCAGACUGGAACUGAGACACGGUCCAG
rnacentral:rRNA from 1 species